rnacentral:rRNA from 1 species
GAGUUUGAUCUUGGCUCAGAUUGAACGCUGGCGGCAGGCCUAACACAUGCAAGUCGAGCGGAUGACGGGAGCUUGCUCCUUGAUUCAGCGGCGGACGGGUGAGUAAUGCCUAGGAAUCUGCCUGGUAGUGGGGGACAACGUUUCGAAAGGAACGCUAAUACCGCAUACGUCCUACGGGAGAAAGCAGGGGACCUUCGGGCCUUGCGCUAUCAGAUGAGCCUAGGUCGGAUUAGCUAGUUGGUGGGGUAAUGGCUCACCAAGGCGACGAUCCGUAACUGGUCUGAGAGGAUGAUCAGUCACACUGGAACUGAGACACGGUCCAGACUCCUACGGGAGGCAGCAGUGGGGAAUAUUGGACAAUGGGCGAAAGCCUGAUCCAGCCAUGCCGCGUGUGUGAAGAAGGUACUUCGGAUUGUAAAGCACUUUAAGUUGGGAGAAGGGCAGUAAGUUAAUACCUUGCUGUUUUGACGUUACCGACAGAAUAAGCACCGGCUAACUCUGUGCCAGCCGCGACCG